GGCGAUAUUGAAGCUCUUUCGCAACCAAGCGCCGCCCCGUCUCCUCCCCGAACUCCCCCGUUCACUUUGUCGCCCCGCGCUACCUCGCUCGCACCAUGGUCUUCCGCAGGUUCGUCGAGAUCGGGCGCGUCGCCUUGAUCAACUAUGGCCCCCAGCAUGGCAAGCUCGUCGUCAUCGUCGACGUGAUUGACCAAAACAGGGCCCUUAUCGACUCCCCUGACAUGGUCCGCACCCAGAUCAACUUCAAGCGCUUGUCGCUUACCGAUAUUGUCAUCGAGAUCUCCAGGAUGCCUAACAAGAAGGCUCUCAAAGAGGCAAUUGAGAAGGGCGAGGUGUACAGCAAGUGGGAGAACAGCGCCUGGGGUAAGAAGCUCGCCGUGCGUCAGAAGCGGGCCUCUCUCAACGACUUCGACCGCUUCAAGGUUAUGGUGGCGCGUGUCAAGAGGAGUUCCAUUGUUCGUAGAGAGCUCGGAAAGCUGAGGAGGGAGAAGGCCUAGAAUGCAUCUGUUAAGCAGUCGAAGGGGUUUGGAAGCAGCUCCAGAUCUAGUGAAGACCAUUGAGGAUAUAAAUUGAUGUUGGUACCAACGGAUUCAUCCCACAGAUUGAAGAAUAAUUGCUUUACAUGAUUUUCACCGCACUCCCUCAAAGGGUUUGACAUGAAUUGUGUGUUCCAAAGGCAUUUCUGCAAGGGCACAUCUCGGCCCAAAAUUCAUGAGAUAUUAAUUAAAUAAAAGUUUUAUGAUGGUAA